AUUGAACGCUGGCGGCAUGCUUUACACAUGCAAGUCGAACGGUAACAGGCCGCAAGGUGCUGACGAGUGGCGAACGGGUGAGUAAUGCAUCGGAACGUGCCCAGUCGUGGGGGAUAACGCAGCGAAAGCUGUGCUAAUACCGCAUACGAUCUAUGGAUGAAAGCGGGGGACCGUAAGGCCUCGCGCGAUUGGAGCGGCCGAUGUCAGCUUAGCUAGUUGGUGGGGUAAAGGCCCACCAAGGCGACGAUCUGUAGCUGGUGUAAGAGGACGACCAGCCACACUGGGACUGAGAAAAGGCCCAGACUCCUACGGGAGGCAGCAGUGGGGAAUUUUGGACAAUGGGCGCAAGCCUGAUUCAGCAAUGCCGCGUGCAGGAAGAAGGCCUUCGGGUUGUAAACUGCUUUUGUACGGAACGAAACGGUCUGGGUUAAUACCCUGGGCUAAUGACGGGACCGUAAGAAUAAGCACCGGCUAACUACGUGCCAGCAGCCGCCGUAAUAC
rnacentral:rRNA from 1 species